UCCCUGCAAAACCAUAGUGUUACUGUGCGAUGGAAUGAUACACAGAUUUUUAAAAUAAAAACAUGAAAUAGGUUAAAGUAAAUCGACACUAUCUCACACAAAUAUCAACCCAAAACCAAAAUGGCUGUCUGUUUAUUUUAGUUAGAUGAGAGAUCAAGUGUAAACAUGGAUAUCAGAUAUUACCCAGUAGCAUCUGUGGUUGCUAGAUAUACUAUGGAGUACAGAGAGAAAGCAUUAUGACUUGUUAAAGUGACUUAGAAGGGAUACAUCACAUUGGUCAAAUCUUGGAUACACAGGGCAUCAAAACUUUGCAGCUCGUACAAAGCUAAUGCAAGCCAUUGUGCUUAGACACAUACUGCCACUGACGCUCCAAAGUUGCUGAAGGCACAGGCAACGGUAAAAAGUGAUUGACGGGAGGUAGCAGCAUACUAGUAUGUACUCCAAUGGAGGGAGGGAGGUUAGGCAGCAUAGUAUGUACUUCAAUGGACAAAGUAUAUAUAGGAUGGGGACAAUGGACAAAGUAUAUAUAGGAUGGGAAUGCAUGGGGCACGCCACAGGGUAGGGGAAAACUAUUGAGAUGCAAGAGCAUAUGCUGUGCGACAAGAUAGUCUAACGAAAUGACCAUAACCUUCAAUAUGGCAAGAAAAGUAAGAAUGGAAGUAAUAUAUCACCUUCCUCCACUAGGAGAUGUAUUGCCCUUUUCUCCAGCUCAAUCGCAUGCAUGCUUCGCCCAGCUGCCGAAAGGGACCUAAGCUCUGAAAUCAACAGAAGGGAAUCAGGAUUAUGCGAGGGGAAAAUCUCGAAGUUACAAAGGUGUUAACAAACUUAUUACUUCGCAAAUACCCCUCCUGGGUCGAAUGAUCACAGCUCUCCAAAUAUGUUUGCAAUCGAUUAAAUCUCUCGUUCCAGUAUUGUAUGUUUAAUGGUUUCACAUCCUCUUGAAUUGCAGUGCCAGAAGCAGCUGGUAGCUCAGUUUUC